rnacentral:rRNA from 1 species
GACGAACGUUAGCGGCGCGCUUAACACAUGCAAGUCGAGCGAGAAAGGGCUUCGGCCCCGGUAAAGCGGCGCACGGGUGAGUAACACGUAGGUAAUUUGCCUCUAGGUGGUAGAUAACCUUCCGAAAGGAGGGCUAAUACAGCAUAAGACCACGGUUCCGAAAGGGAUUGGGGUCAAAGCCGGCCUCUUCACGAAAGCUGGUGCCAAGAGAUGAGCCUGCGGCCCAUCAGGUAGUUGGUAGGGUAAUGGCCUACCAAGCCGAAGACGGGUAGCUGGUCUGAGAGGAUGAUCAGCCACACUGGAACUGAGACACGGUCCAGACUCCUACGGGAGGCAGCAGUGGGGAAUCUUGCGCAAUGGGCGAAAGCCUGACGCAGCGACGCCGCGUGAGUGAUGAAGGCCUUCGGGUUGUAAAGCUCUGUGGAGGGGGACGGAAUAAGGGUUAGGCGUAAGUAUCAACCUGAUGACGGUACCCUUAGUCAAGCACCGGCU